rnacentral:rRNA from 1 species
UGGCUAAGACAUGCAAGUCGAACGGACCAUAUAAUUGGGUAACCGAAAGUAUGGUUAGUGGCGAAAGGGUGAGGAAUAGAUAGGAACGUACCCUGUGCUCUGGGAUAGCGUCUGAAGCUUCGGCUUCUUCCGAAAGGGGCGGUAAUACCAGAUAAUGUCCUUCGGGACCAAAGAUUUAUCGGCAUUGGAGCGGCCUAUCUCCUAUCAGCUUGUUGGUGAGGUAACGGCUCACCAAGGCAACGACGGGUAGCGGGACUGAGAGGUUGGCCCGCCACAUCGGGACUGAGACACUGCCCGGACCUCCACGGAGGGCUGCAGUAACGGAUAUUGGGCAAUGGGCGAAAGCCUGACCCAGCAAUGCCGCGUGCAGGAUGAGGCCCCUAGGGGUGUAAACUGCUGUCAGGGGUCAGAAAGCUGGUUUCGGCCAGUUGAUCAACCCCAGAGGAAGUCACGGCUAACUUCGUGCCAGCAGCCGCGGUAAUACGAAGGUGGCAAGCGUUAUUCGGAAUCAUUGGGCUUAAAGGGCACGCAGGCGGAACAGUGUGUGUUGUGUGAAAUCCCCCGGCUUAACCGGGGAAUUGCACAGCAAACUGCUGUUCUUGAGGCAGGUAGGGGUGCAUGGAACUCUUGGUGGAGCGGUGGAAUGCGUAGAUAUCAAGAGGAACGCCAGAGGUGAAGACGGUGCACUGGGCCUGUCCUGACGCUGAGGUGCGAAAGCGUGGGGAGCGAACGGGAUUAGAUACCCCGGUAGUCCACGCCGUAAACGAUGUCUACUAGGUCGUGGGUGUUCUGACACAUUCACGGCCGGAGCAAAAGUG